GUACACGCUGUGACUAGCAUAUCAAUAAGCGGAGGAAAAGAAACUAACAAGGAUUCCCCUAGUAACGGCGAGUGAAGCGGGAAGAGCUCAAAUUUGAAAUCUUAAAGGGUUUCCCUUUACGAAUUGUAGUUUAAAGAAGUGUUUUCUGUUGAGGUUUUGGUAAAAGUUCUUUGGAAUAGGACAUCAUAGAGGGUGAGAAUCCCGUAUUUGACCUUUACUUUCAACUUUGUGAUACACUUUCGAAGAGUCGGAUUGUUUGGGAAUGCAGUCCAAAAUGGGUGGUAAAUUUCAUCUAAAGCUAAAUAUUGGCGAGAGACCGAUAGCGAACAAGUACCGUGAGGGAAAGAUGAAAAGAACUUUGAAAAGAGAGUUAAACAGUACGUGAAAUUGUCAAAAGGGAAGCGUUUGACACCAGUGUUGUUUUUCUGAAAAUCAAUUAAAGAACUGUUUAUGCUAAGUUGUUUAGACUUUAUCAGCUAACUGUUUAGUUUUGAGCUUUUCUUUAAUGCACUUUUCAGUUAACAAGUCAACAUCAAUUUCUUUUGUUGUAAAAAAGCUUGAGGAAGGUGGCUUGAGAUUCGUCUUAAGUGUUUAUAGCCUCUUGCCUAUGCAGUCGGAGAGAUUGAGGUCAUGCAGCGUAGAUCCUUCGGGGCUAAAUGCAUUUGUGCUAAGUUAUAGCAUUUUAUAGACAACUUGUUGACUAUGAUUUGUCUUGUAGCUUACUCGCUUAUGUUAUUUUACCUACGCUUAGGAUGUUGACGCGCGUGUGUGCGUG
rnacentral:rRNA from 1 species